UGAUCCGGACACCGGCGCCCGUUAUGCCAAGCAGCACAUCCAUCCGUGGAAACUGCUGGUGGGGUUCGUGCACUGCUGCAACGUGUUGUGGCGCGACAAGCUCGGACAGAUCUCGCUGGCGGUGACGACGCUCUUCUGGGGCGCAGGGGCCACCCUGCAGUUCAUCGUACUCAAGUGGGCGGAACAGGUGCUGGGUCUCGACCUCAGCCGCGCCGCUAUCCUGCAGGCGAUCGUCGCCAUCGGCAUCGCCGCGGGUGCGAUCUAUGCCGCCGCCCGCGUGUCGCUUAAGCGGUCGCUGGGCGUGCUCCCGGUGGGCGUGAUGAUGGGUGUGAUCGUUGCGCUGGCGUCGUUCUACAGCCGGACACUGGUGCCGGCAGGCGAGCUGCAGAUCGGCGCCCUGUCGGCUAGCUGGUUCCUGGCGAUCGCCGCUGCGAUCCUCGUGCUGAUCGGCGCGCUGGCAGGCUAUUUCGUCGUGCCGAUGAAUGCCCUGCUACAGCAUCGCGGCCACGUGCUGCUGUCGGCCGGCCACUCGAUCGCCGUGCAGAACUUCAACGAGAACCUGAGCAUCCUGGUGAUGCUCGGUGUGUACGCCGUGCUGAUCUGGCUGAACCUGUCGAUCCAGGCCGUGAUGCUGCUGUUCGGACUGUUCGUCGCCCUGUCGAUGAUCGCAGUGACGAUGCGUCACCGCUACAACCAGCGCCAGUUCGAUUCGGUCGCGCUGAUCGGCGCCGGCAGCCACUCGGUGUGAUCUCGAUACCUGUUGAUCUUGGUACCUGUUGAGACUUCACACCGCGGACCUGCCGACAAGGUCGCGCGCGAGACAGAGGUCGGCCCAGGCUUUCGCCUUGUCCGCCAGGUUUCUCAGCAGAUAGGCCGGGUGAUAGGUGACGACGACCGCCACGCGCCGCCCGGCCACGUCGACAUGGUGCGGCCGGCCGCGCAGGCUGGCGAUGCUGGCGUCGGUCUGCAGCAAGGCCUGCGCCGCGAUCCGCCCCAUCACCAGCACGAUCUUCGGCUGCACCAGCUCGAUCUGCCGCCAUAAGAACGGCCGGCACUGCUCGACUUCCUCCGGCACCGGAUUGCGGUUUCCCGGCGGCCGGCACUUCAGCACAUUGGCGAUGUAGACCGACUGCGAUGUGGCACCGGUGCGGGUGAGCCCGACCGCCGCCAGCAUGUUGUCGAGCAGUCGACCGGCCUGUCCGACGAAGGGCUCGCCCUUGAGGUCCUCUUCGGCGCCCGGUGCCUCGCCGACCAGCAUCCAGUCGGCCGCGUGGUGUCCGACGCCGAACACCGUGCGCGUGCGCGUUUCGCACAGUCCGCACGCUCGGCAUGCAGCGACAGAACGCCCGAGCGAGUCCCAGUCCAUCCGUGCGAUUCGUUCUUCGCGGCUUCCCUCCU
rnacentral:misc_RNA from 1 species